rnacentral:ribozyme from 13 species
AAAAAAUAACAACAACAAAAACCAGUGAGAUUAGAAAAAUCACCCCCAACACCUUUGUUGAAUUUGCUUUGUUGAUCUUCAUUCUCUCUCUUCUCUUCUUCUUCUCUCUCCU